rnacentral:rRNA from 1 species
GACGAACGCUGGCGGCGUGCUUAACACAUGCAAGUCGUACGGUAAGGCCCUUUCGGGGGUACACGAGUGGCGAACGGGUGAGUAACACGUGAGUAACCUGCCCACAACUUUGGGAUAACGCUAGGAAACUGGUGCUAAUACUGGAUAUGUGCUCCUGCUGCAUGGUGGGGGCUGGAAAGCUACGGCGGUUGUGGAUGGACUCGCGGCCUAUCAGCUUGUUGGUGGGGUAGUGGCCUACCAAGGCGGCGACGGGUAGCCGGCCUGAGAGGGUGACCGGCCACAUUGGGACUGAGAUACGGCCCAGACGCCUACGGGAGGCAGCAGUGGGGAAUAUUGCACAAUGGGCGCAAGCCUGAUGCAGCAACGCCGCGUGCGGGAUGACGGCCUUCGGGUUGUAAACCGCUUUCAGCAGGGACGAAGCUUUUUGUGACGGUACCUGCAGAAGAAGCACCGGCUAACUACGUG